UGCGUGCUCACUGCUCUAUCUGUCAGAUUCCGGCUCCGAUUCGGUCCCGGUCACGUUUUCUUCUUCUAAUUGUGUUCCCAUCUCUCACUUUCUCUCUCAUGUGUUCUUCAUCUCUCAAAGGUAUGAAAUGUUAUCUUGGGGUUUUCUUCUGGGGGAAGAGGUUUGGAUUAUCUAUAUCGAUAUUUUGGUAGCCACCCCUUUCAAAUUGGUCAUGCAAAGUCAAAAAGAGAUGAAUACUGCAGGGCUUUUGCGUAACCUAUUUGUAAUAUUCUGUGGUACUGAUUAAGAGUUGAUGUGCUUUGAUCUAUUUAAUUGAUUUCGUCAUGUUGCACAUA
rnacentral:precursor_RNA from 1 species